CAAUAGCGUAUAUUAAAGUUGUUGCAGUUAAAAAGCUCGUAGUUGGAUUUCUGGUUGGAGCGACCGGUCGGGCAUUGAUUUGUCUGCACUGGAGUCGGUUCUGGCCAUCCUCUUGGAAAGUGCGUCUGUCAUUAAGUUGUCGGGCGUAUGAUCCAGGUCUUUUACUGUGAAAAAAUUAGAGUGUUUAAAGCAGGCCUUCGCCUUGAAUACAUUAGCAUGGAAUAAUAAGAUAGGACUUUGGUCUAUUUUGUUGGUUUGCAGACCGAAGUAGUGAUUAAUAGGGAUAGUUGGGGGUAUUUAUAUUCCAAUGUCAGAGGUGAAAUUCUUAGAUUUUUGGAAGAUAAACUUAUGCGAAAGCAUUUACCAAGGAUGUUUUCAUUAA
rnacentral:rRNA from 1 species